UAGGAAUUAUAUUCCCUCCCACUCCCAUCACUGUUAGGAAUCACCCUCUCCCCCUUUAAAACCCCUAGUAAACCCAUUUCUAUUCCUGCCUACAGCAUUCUCCCUGAGCCUCGCUCUCUCCUCUGCUGGCAGAUGGGAGAUGGAGGGGGGGGGGGGAUGCGGAGUUCUGGUGGCAAAGGGAAGGAGUAAUGGCUGCCAAAUAGUGGUGAGAGAGGUGUAGGGUGAUGCCUAUUGUUGAUGGGAGAGAGAGGGGGUGAUGCUUGAUGGUGAUAGGAGGAAGAGGGGGUGACGACUAAUGGUGAUGGAAGAUGGAGUGGGAUGAUACAAAAAGGAGGGCCCUCGUCGACUAUAACUGGGUAUCAUCCCCUCCCUCUAACACCACCAUUAGGCAUAAUCCCUCUCCUAUCACCAUUAGACGUAAACCUCUUUCCUCUCAUUACCAGAAGAUACCAAUCCCCUUCCUCUCCCAUGAUUAUUAGCCAUGAAAUCCCUCUCCCAUCACCACAAGGCAUCACUCUCCUUCCCAUCGCCAUUUGGCAUCAACCCUCCCUAUUCCAUUAUGAUUAAACAUUCCCCUCCUUCUCUCAGCUCCAUUAAGAAUCAAGUCCUCCCUCUCCCAUCACUAUUAGGCAGCCUUUCCUCUCCCACCGCUAACGUUAGGCUCCAUGAAAUCCUUUCUUACUCCCAUCACUAACGUAUAGGAGAGGAGCCGGAUGGUGAGUGGAGAGAAAGGGGCGAUGGCUGAUUAAAGAGAAACCAUAGGUGGAAAAUGUCCCUCCUUUUACUGCAUUAUAUAAAACAGGGGUCUCAAACCACUGGCCGAUGGACCACGUGUUGUCCCCAAUCAACUUCUUGCAGCCCGUGUAGGAGAUAAACUGCUGGCAACAUAAUUUACAGACUGUCUAGUUAGACACUGGACACCUGGCAACUGCCAGUCUUUUAAUUGAGCUGCUAAUCCACUGACCAGCAUUGCAGAGUGGUGCCCUCAGAUCUGUGUGUAUGUGAAUGUCUGUGAGUGUCUGUGAGUGUGUGUCAUUGGGAAUCUGUGAAUGUGUCUGGGAGCACGGAUCUGCGUCUGUGUGUAUCCAUGAGUGUUUGUAUGUAUGAGUUUAUCUGCGAGUG